AGGUCGUGCGGAACCGUCGCAUAAAAGGGGACAGCUGUGCUCACUGGUGCUACAGCUCGCUGCAGACACAGAAGAACAACGCUCAAGAUGCCAGACCCCUGCUGUGGAAGCGGAAAGGGAUGCGAGGGUUCCGGGUGCAAAUGCGGCAGUGGCUGCACUUGCUCCAACUGCGCAUGCGGAACGAAGGGGUCUUCCGGUGGCACCAAGGACAAGCAAUAGAAGAAACUUUCUUAGCGGAUACCAUGCAAGCUCUCCAUCAUUGCUUCGCGAAGAACAACACUGUCACUUCAAAAGUCGUCACUUGCGUGUAAUAAUAUAUAGAGAUUGUACAUGUACAAUUUUGUUUUGGAUUGUGCGCAUUUUAAUGGAAUUAAAAUAAAUUUCUACAUUAAAUGAAAAA